UACGUAGGGGGCAAGCGUUGUCCGGAUUUAUUGGGCGUAAAGAGCGUGUAGGCGGCCAUGUAGGUCCGUUGUGAAAACUCGAGGCUCAACCUCGAGACGCCGAUGGAAACCAUGUGGCUAGAGUCCGGAAGAGGAGAGUGGAAUUCCUGGUGUAGCGGUGAAAUGCGCAGAUAUCAGGAAGAACACCCGGUGGCGAAGGCGGCUCUCUGGAACGCAACUGACGCUGAGACGCGAAAGCGUGGGAGCAACAGG
rnacentral:rRNA from 1 species